rnacentral:lncRNA from 1 species
CUUUCACCCAAAGGGUUGCCAUCCUACCUGAAGCAUGCAAGCACCGUGGCAGGCGGGUUCUUCAGCCUCUACCACUUCUUCCAGCUGCACAUGGUUUGGGUCGUGCUGCUCAGCCUCCUGUGCUACCUCGUGCUGUUCCUCUGCCGACAUUCCUCCCAUCGAGGCGUCUUCCUAUCCGUCACCAUCCUCAUCUACUUACUCAUGGGUGAGAUGCACAUGGUAGACACCGUGACAUGGCACAAGAUGCGAGGGGCACAGAU